rnacentral:rRNA from 1 species
UUCUGGUUGAUCCCGCCGGACCUGACUGCUAUCGGAUUGAUACUAAGCCAUGCGAGUCUUUGUAGUAAUACAAGGCAGACGGCUCAGUAACACGUAGUCAACCUACCCUAUGGACGAGAAUAAUCUCGGGAAACUGAGCAUAAUUCUUGAUAGAUCAUAAUGCCUGGAAUGGUUUAUGGUUAAAAUGAUUCGUCGCCAUAGGAUGGGACUGCGGCCUAUCAGCUUGUUGGUGAGGUAAUGGCCCACCAAGGCGAUUACAGGUACGGGCUCUGAGAGGAGAAGCCCGGAGAUGGGUACUGAGACACGGACCCAGGCCCUAUGGGGCGCAGCAGGCGAGAAAACUCUGCAAUGUGCGAAAGCACGACAAGGUUAAUCCGAGUGAUUUCUGCUAAAGAAAUCUUUUGCCAGUCGUAAAACCGCUGGUGAAUAAGGGGUGGGCAAGUUCUGGUGCCAGCAGCCGCGGUAAU